AGCUCUUACAUAGGAUAUUUCGGUAUGGACGAUCUUUGACAACUUGUCGUUUUUGUUUGGUGAACCCACACACUCGCGUCAGUUCUUGGUGACCCUGUAUCGAUCUUGUCACUAUGAAUAGAUACAUUGCCUUUUUGUGGCUAUAUAUAUAUAUAUAUAUAUAUAUAUAUAUAUAUAUAUAUAUAUGUAUGUAUGUAUGUCAACAUAAGAUGUAUCUAUUGAGAGGGACUUUUAGAAAAUAUACAGCCAGAGGAUAAAAAUAGGAGGGCAAAUCCGCUGAACUUAAGCAUAUAAUUAAGCGGAAGAAAAGAAAAUAACUAUGAUUCCUUUAGUAACGGCGAGUGAAGAAGGAAUAGCUCAAUAAGUAGAAUCCUUCGAAUCUUAAUGAUAUAUUUAUACAUAGAAUAAAGAAUUGAAGGAAUUGUCAAGUUGAAUUGUACUCUUGUAGGCCUCACAGGUGAAAUGAAUAUAUAGAAGUAAAGUAGGAAUACUUCCUCAUAGAGGGUGAAAGGCCCGUAUCAUAUAUCAUUUCGUGGGCUUUGGAGUAUUUAUAUUUUACUGAGUAGUGUUCUUUGAGAUUGGAGCACAAAUUGGUGUGAUACAUUUCACAUAAAGCUAAAUAUGUAUAGGAGACCGAUAGCAAACAAGUACCGUGAGGGAAAGAUGAAAUAGUACUCAGGAAUGAGCAAUUAAAUAGUACCUGAAAUCGUUAAGAUGGAACGGAUUAAGAGAGAAAACAAGUAAAGAGGGGAAUUUUUAAUUUUUUUUGUUUUAAUUCUCUUCUUUAUUAAAAGAAACAUCAGUGAUUAAUUUAAUUUCAAUAAAGCAAUCCCCUGAAAUUCAAAAUUUCUUUUAAUUUUGUUUUCACUUUCUCCCCGCACUAAUGUGGGGAAAACUGGCUUUAUUUCUUCAAUUAUUUUUUUUGCUGAGGAAUUUUAAAAUUAUUUGAAUUUUUCUUCUUAUAAUUUAAGUUGUUUCUAUAUAGUACUUUCUUAACCCACUCGUCUUGAAACACGGACCAAGGAGUCUAGCAAAUGUGCAAGUGUAUAUGAUUCUUUAAACAUUUCUCUUUUUAAUAUACGCAUAAUUAAUGUAAUAUGUUUCUUUAUUGUAGAUUUGUGGUGUUUAAUUUUUAUUAAAUCCCCACUUUGCAUACAAUACCGGUAAGCAAUUAUGCUUUAUUGAGUACGAGCAUAUUUGGUAGGACCCGAGAGGCUUUGAACUAAGCGUGAUGAGAUUGAAGUCAGACGAAAGUCUGAUGGAGGAUCGAGUUGAUACUGACGUGCAAAUCGUUCAUUUCAAUCACGUUUAGGGGCGAAAGACUAAUCGAAAAGCCUAUUAGCUGGUUAUUUUCGAAAGAUCUCUCAGGAUCGCUGGAGUUGAGUUUAAUAUAAUUUUAUCAGGUAGAGAUAAUGAUUAGAGGAUUUAGGGAAAUAAAUUUCCUUAACCUAUUCUCAAACUUCCAAUAUGUAAAAAGGGUGAAAUAUCUGAAAAGUAUUUCACUCUGUGUAAAUAAAAUAACUCCAAGUGGGCCAUUUUUGGUAAGCAGAACUGGCGAUGAGGGAUGCUCCUAACGCUUGGAUAAGGUGCCUAAAUAUUCGCUCAUGAGAUCCCAUAAAAGGUGUUGGUUCAUAAUGACAGUAGGACGGUGGUCAUGGAAGUCGAAAUCCGCUAAGGAGUGUGUAACAACUCACCUACCGAAUGAACUAGCCCUGAAAAUGGAUGGCGCUAAAGCGAAUUACCGAUACCAGGCCAUAAAAAGGUAGAAAUUAUAAAUUUUAAUUUAGCUCAGAUCUUUUUAUGAGUAGAAAAUCGUGGGGUUUGUGUUGAAGCGAAAUACGUGAGUUUUCGUGGAACAUCUCCCUAGUGCAGAUCUUGGUGGAAGUAGCAACUAUUCAAAUGAGAACUUUGAAGACUGAAGUGGAGAAGGGUUUCUUGUCAACUAUGUUUGAACAAGAGUUAGCCGCUCCUAAGGGAUAGCUGAAAAGUGUUUAAAAGAAGUAAGAUAUUAUAUGGAAAUAUAUAAUUAGAUCUUCGUCUCAAAAGGGAAACAGGUUAAUAUUCCUGUGCCAAAUAGAAGUAAGGGUGUGAAUAAAGAAAGAUGGUAACAUACAUAUAAAUGAACUCCUUGACAUAGGUUUUACGCUCGGGGUGCGUUAUCUUUGCACUUUAAUUUUAUAGCAAACCUUGGAAUCAAUUUAUUUGGAGAAGAGGUUCGUUGAACUCAAUUCAAAAAAUUUAUAGAAGGGAUUUUCGGAUCCUUUUUUUUUUUUUUUUUGUUUUGUAGCAAUAGUAAUUCAUUUCUUUUGAAUUAUCCAUAGUGGUAAAAACUAUCCAUGAAACAAGGAGGGAACAGCAGCAAUUAUAUAAUUUUUGGGGUUCUUUAAUUUUUUUUUUUGAAUUACCUUCUUAUUUGCAAUACUCUUAAUACUUGUAAUGAGCGUACCAAUAACCGCAUCAGGUCUCCAAGGUUAGUAGCCUCUGGUUAAAUAGAAAAAAGUAGGUAAGGGAAGUCGGCAAAAUAGAUCCGUAACUUCGGGAAAAGGAUUGGCUCUGAGGACAUUAGAAAAGAGAAGAAAAAAAGAGGGUUGAAAAUAAAAUUGCAGAUUUAUUUGCUUUUCUUUUCGAUUUGCUUGUAAAUUUGCUUUUUCUUUUUCUUCUUUGUUUUUAUUCUGUCCCUCUUUUCGCCUUCAUUUUAUUGUAAUUUUAGUUACUUUAAUUUUUUGAUAUAUAUAAUGUUAACUCAGAACUGAAACGGACAAGGGGAAUCCGACUGUUUAAUUAAAACAUAGCAUUGUGAAAAGCCAUAACUGGUAUUAACACAAUGUGAUUUCUGCCCAGUGCUUUGAAUGUCAAGUUGAUGAAAUUCAAUUAAGCGCAGGUAAACGGCGGGAGUAACUAUGACUCUCUUAAGGUAGCCAAAUGCCUCGUCAUCUAAUUAGUGACGCGCAUGAAUGGAUUAACGAG
rnacentral:rRNA from 1 species